GGAGAGGUGGCCGAGUGGUUUAAGGCGCACGCCUGGAACGCGUGUGUGCGGGAAACCGUACCGUGGGUUCGAAUCCCACCCUCUCCGCCA
rnacentral:tRNA from 1 species